CUAUGGUGAAUCUUGCCCAAUUUUUGUAUUCUAGGUUCAAGUUAGCUUCCGGAACUUGUGGGCUCAAGCUAUUGAGCAUAUGGGUAUGGUGUAGGUUAAGUGGGUGUUUAUGCAUUGGAAUUGAAUUGGGAUCACUUGGAGGUUUGUUGGUGACCAAGGCUUGCUUUGAGGCUGUUUGAUUGAGCUUGGAUGGGCUGUAAUUUUGCGUUGUGAGGCUGCCUUGGGUGAAUUAAGUGAUCGGCCAAGAUGCAGGUCGAGAGGCUCCUCGCUAGGCGUCUGGAUCCUGGGAAGCGAAGUAGUCCUUGGGGGUAUUUUGGUUUCUGGUUGUAUAUAU